rnacentral:piRNA from 1 species
UCCUGUCAAAGCAGCAGGUUGAAGGAUGA